CUCAGGAUCUCCACCUCUCUGUUUAACCAUGUCUGGUGUAUAUUAGUUGGUAACAUGUUAGGAGGGGGCCUACACAAGGAAAACCUGACUCAUCCAUCAGCAUCUUCAUAAGGAGGGGAUGCUGCAGUGGUGGUGUUCAGGAGGGCAGCGCUCCGGGUGGUGUUCAGGAGGGCAGCGCUCCGGGUGGUGUUCAGGAGGGCAGCGCUCCGGGUGGUGUUCAGGAGGGCAGCGCUCCGGGUGGUGUUCAGUGUUGCACCCUACUAAACAUCCCUGGUGUUGACCAGUGGCAGUUCAUAUCACCUGACUAAACUCUGAAACUAGGUCCCAAAUGUCUGCUUAUUCUCUAUGUAGUGGACUGCUUGGACCACAGCCCUAUAGAUCCUGGUCUAAAGUAGUGCACUGCAUAUGGAGUAGGGGGCCAUUUGGGAUAACCUGAAUGUAUUAUGACUUGCUGUCUGAAGGUGUUAUGGCUAGCCAGUUUUCCGGUCACAUAGCCCCUGUUGUCGGGUCCUCUUACUGAGUUAGUACCUGCUAGUUCCAGGGCUGUCUACCUUCUACCUGCUCUGGAUAACUGGUUGCUUUUGGGACCUUGGAUUGUCUUUUUGUAUCUGGGGUUACGGGGAGCUGGGUUGGGUGAUGGGACGGGGUGGGAGGCUUUAGAAGGUCUAUUACCUCUGUAUACAGGGCUUCUGUUAUUUUGUGGAAUAUCAACAAGCUUGUUUUCUGUUAACCCGGGAUCCUGUUGUGUCUGUUGGCAUUGGAUGUGUCUCAAUUGGCAGCCUGUGCCCUGUUAAGUGCAAUACACAGGGCUCUGGUCUAAAGUAGUGUACUAUAUAGGGAAUAGGGCUCUGGUCUAUAGUAGUGCACUAUAUAGGGAAUAGGGCCCUGGUCUAAUCUAGUGCACUACAUAGGGAAUAGGGCUCUGGUCUAUAGUAGUGUACUAUAUAGGGAAUAGGGCUCUGGUCUAUAGUAGUGUACUAUAUAGGGAAUAGGGCUCUGGUCUAAAGUAGUGUACUAUAUAGGGAAUAGGGCUCUGGUCUAUAGUAGUGUACUAUAUAGGGAAUAGGGCUCUACUCUAGUGGUGUACUAUAUAGGGAAUAGGGUUCUGGUCUAAAGUAGUGCACUAUAUAGGGAAUAGGGCUCUGGUCUAAAGUAGUAAACUAUAUAGGGAAUAGGGCUCUGGUCUAUAGUAGUGCACUACAUAGGGAAUAGGGCUCUGGUCUAAAGUAGUUCACUAUAUAGGGAAUAGGGCUCUGGUCUAUAGUAGUGUACUAUAUAGGGAAUAGGGCUCUGGUCUAUAGUAGUGCACUAUAUAGGGAAUAGGGCCCUGGUCUAAAGUAGUGCACUAUAUAGGGAAUAGGGCUCUGGUCUAUAGUAGUGUACUAUAUAGGGGAAUAGGGCUCUGGUCUAAAGUAGUGCACUAUAUAGGGAAGUAGGGCUCUGGUCUAAAGUAGUGCACUAUAUAGGGAAUAGGGCUCUGGUCUAUAGUAGUGUACUAUAUAGGGGAGUAGGGCUCUGGUCUAAAGUAGUGCACUAUAUAGGGAAUAGGGCUCUGGUCUAUAGUAGUGUACUAUAUAGGGAAUAGGGCUCUGGUCUAUAGUAGUGUACUAUAUAGGGAAUAGGGCUCUGGUCUAUAGUAGUGUACUAUAUAGGGAAUAGGGCUCUGGUCUAUAGUAGUGUACUAUAUAGGGAAUAGGGCUCUGGUCUAUAGUAGUGUACUAUAUAGGAAUAGGGCUCUGGUCUAUAGUAGUGUACUAUAUAGGGAAUAGGGCUCUGGUCUAAAGUAGUGCACUAUAUAGGGAAUAGGGCUCUGGUCUAUAGUAGUGCACUAUAUAGGGAAUAGGGCUCUGGUCUAAAGUAGUGCACUAUAUAGGGAAUAGGGCUCUGGUCUAAAGUAGUGCACUAUAUAGGGAAUAGGGCUCUGGUCUAAAGUAGUGUACUAUAUAGGGAAUAGGGUUCUGGUCUAAAGUAGUGCACUAUAUAGGGAAUAGGGCUCUGGUCUAUAGUAGUACCACUAUAUAGGGAAUAGGGCUCUGGUCUAUAGUAGUACCACUAUAUAGGGAAUAGGGCUCUGGUCUAUAGUAGUACCACUAUAUAGGGAAUAGGGCUCUGGUCUAUAGUAGUACCACUAUAUAUAGGGGAAAUAUUUCCCUUUGGGACAUUUAAUAAUGUGGCUGAUCUGGUAGCCAUGGAAAACAUCUGAUAUGACCUACCGACAUUCUAUUAGACAGACUUCAUCUCAUUAUUACCCUUCUCUCUAGUCUGGUUGGCUCUCAUUCUGUCGUCCUAGAGAUGGUUAUCAUUUACAGCAGGGUUGGGGUCCUCUUCAGGCCGUGGAAUAAUAUCUGUACCUUCUGUCUCUGAGGAGGACCUCUCCUGUGACGUCUUUAUGAAGCCAGAAGUUUCUUCCAAAAGCACUCAUAGAAAACUAAGAAUGAAAUGAGUAAGGAUGAAAUUGAGCCCAACCCUGUUUCACAUUGAGGUGAUUAUCUCAGCAGGCUCAAGUCUAGUUCAGUACAACAUGGUAUAGUAGUAACACCCUUUGUUCAUUCAUCUCAACCAGGAAUGUAUCACUCUGACCCCAACUGUAUGCAAGUUAUCUGUCUGUGUACAUAAACCAACCAGCUCUAUUCAUCACCUUCAAGCUUAAUGAACUGUGUGUGUGUGUGUGUGUGUGUGUGUGUGUGUGUGUGUGUGUGUGUGUGUGUGUGUGUGUGUGUGUGUUUGUUUGCGUGCGUGCAGGGACCCAAAUUGUGUUUUCUCCCCCCAAAAAAAAUAUUUCACAACGAUGAUACCAUGGAAGAAACAUUUACAAAUAUACCUUUUAAAAGCAUGUUCGGUUAUUAUUAUUUUUUACAAUUUUCUUUGCAUAAAUAUCAGUUUUUGUUUGGGAAAACUGCAAACUGUUUGGAAAAUAAACAACAAAAUGUGUGUAAAACAUGGGACCCACGAGUCAUGAUAUCUCCGGUGUGAAGUUUCCCCUAGGUACAGAUCUUAGGAUCAGCUUUCCCUCCCCCAGUCCUUCCCCUAACCAUUAGUGAGGGAAAUGUCAAACUGACCCAAGAUCAGCAUAUAUGGAGCAACUUCACCCAACACCAUUUUUCACCACCACUUCUUCAGAGGUGUGUUUAGAGGUAAAAACGUUCAGGGUGGGGGGGGAUUUCCAAAAUCUUUGUGGUACUUUUAAGGCUGGAUCUGCAAACAUUACUAGCCUUAAUUCUUGAAUCCUCUGUCCUGAUUCUUCCAUUUCCCAUUGGGGCGGCAGGGUAGCCUAGUGGUUAGAGCAUUGGACUAGUAACCAAAAGGUUGCAAGUUCAAAUCCCCGAG
ensembl:lncRNA